rnacentral:rRNA from 1 species
AUGGGAACGCGAAGAACCUUACCUAGACUUGACAUCUUCUGCAUUAAUCGUAAUGGAUGAAAUCCCUUCGGGGACAGAAUGACAGGUGGUGCAUGGUUGUCGUCAGCUCGUGUCGUGAGAUGUUGGGUUAAGUCCCGCAACGAGCGCAACCCUUAUUACUAGUUGCUACCAUUUAGUUGAGCACUCUAGCGAGACUGCCGUGGUUAACGCGGAGGAAGGUGGGGAUGACGUCAAAUCAUCAUGCCCCUUAUGUCUAGGGCUACACACGUGCUACAAUGGCUGGUACAGAGAGACGCUAAACCGUGAGGUGGAGCCAAACUUUAAAACCAGUCUCAGUUCGGAUUGUAGGCUGAAACUCGCCUACAUGAAGCUGGAGUUGCUAGUAAUCGCGAAUCAGAAUGUCGCGGUG